CAAAAUAGGGAGUCGGACCUGCCCGGUGAAUUUUUUUAACGGCCGCGGUACUCUGACCGUGCAAAGGUAGCAUAAUCAUUUGCCUUAUAAUUGAAGGCUAGUAUGAAUGGUUUGACGAGAAUAUAGCUGUCUCUUUAUAAUUUAUUAGAAUUUUACCUAAAGGUGAAGAGGCCUUUAUUAUACUAAUAGACAAGAAGACCCUAUCGAGCUUUAAAAUAAUUAAUAGAUAAAUAGGCUUUAAUAGAAUUAAAAGGCAAUCUAUUACUAAUUUUAAUUGGGGCGAUUGAGGAACAAUAAAAGCUUCCUUUAAAUUUAUUAUAAAUUAUACAAAUAUUGAUCCAAAAUGUUUUGAUUAAAGGAAUUAGUUACCGUAGGGAUAACAGCAUUAUCUUUUUUGAGAGUUCAUAUCGAAAAAAAGGUUUGUGACCUCGAUGUUGGACCAGAAUAUCCCAAAGAUGCAGCAGUCUUUAAAGGUUGGUCUGUUCGACCAUUAAAAUUCUACCUGA
rnacentral:rRNA from 1 species